rnacentral:rRNA from 1 species
ACGCUGGCGGCGUGCUUAACACAUGCAAGUCGAACGGUGAAGAGGAGCUUGCUCCUUGGAUCAGUGGCGAACGGGUGAGUAACACGUGAGUAACCUGCCCCAAACUCUGGGAUAAGCACUGGAAACGGUGUCUAAUACCGGAUACGAGCUUCAGCCGCAUGGCUAGGAGUUGGAAAGAAUUUCGGUUUGGGAUGGACUCGCGGCCUAUCAGCUAGUUGGUGAGGUAAUGGCUCACCAAGGCGACGACGGGUAGCCGGCCUGAGAGGGUGACCGGCCACACUGGGACUGAGACACGGCCCAGACUCCUACGGGAGGCAGCAGUGGGGAAUAUUGCACAGUGGGCGCAAGCCUGAUGCAGCAACGCCGCGUGAGGGACGACGGCCUUCGGGUUGUAAACCUCUUUUAGUAGGGAAGAAGCGAAAGUGACGGUACCUGCAGAAAAAGCACCGGCUAACUACGUGCCAGCAGCCGCGGUAAUACGUAGGGUGCAAGCGUUGUCCGGAAUUAUUGGGCGUAAAGAGCUCGUAGGCGGUUUGUCGCGUCUGCUGUGAAAACCCGAGGCUCAACCUCGGGCCUGCAGUGGGUACGGGCAGACUAGAGUGCGGUAGGGGAGAUUGGAAUUCCUGGUGUAGCGGUGGAAUGCGCAGAUAUCAGGAGGAACACCAAUGGCGAAGGCAGAUCUCUGGGCCGUAACUGACGCUGAGGAGCGAAAGCAUGGGGAGCGAAAC